rnacentral:rRNA from 1 species
GACGAACGCUGGCGGCGUGCUUAACACAUGCAAGUCGAACGGAAAGGCCCUGCUUUUGUGGGGUGCUCGAGUGGCGAACGGGUGAGUAACCCGUGAGUAACCUGCCAUUGACUUUGGGAUAACUUCAGGAAACUGGGGCUAAUACCGGAUAGGAGCUCCUGCUGCAUGGUGGGGGUUGGAAAGUUUCGGCGGUUGGGGAUGGACUCGCGGCUUAUCAGCUUGUUGGUGGGGUAGUGGCUUACCAAGGCUUUGACGGGUAGCCGGCCUGAGAGGGUGACCGGCCACAUUGGGACUGAGAUACGGCCCAGACUCCUACGGGAGGCAGCAGUGGGGAAUAUUGCACAAUGGGCGGAAGCCUGAUGCAGCAACGCCGCGUGCGGGAUGACGGCCUUCGGGUUGUAAACCGCUUUCGCCUGUGACGAAGCGUGAGUGACGGUAAUGGGUAAAGAAGCACCGGCUAACUACGUG